GCCUGCCGGUCGCCAUAAACCCGUAGAUCCGAACUUGCGGUCGCUCCUCGUGCAAGCUCGACUCUGUGGGUCUGUGUCGGCCUCGGCCU
rnacentral:pre_miRNA from 1 species